UGCCUGCUUCGUGGGGCACGAACCCAUGAACCCAUGGCCCUGAGAUUAAGAGUCUCAAGCUCUACUGACUGAGCUAGCUGGGC
rnacentral:sRNA from 1 species